UACAGAGGUCCCGAGCGUUGUUCGGAUUCACUGGGCGUAAAGGGUGCGUAGGCGGUGAGGUAAGUCGGAUGUGAAAUCUCCAAGCUCAACUUGGAAACUGCAUUGGAAACUACCUUGCUAGAGGAUUUGAGGGGGGAUUGGAAUACUUGGUGUAGCAGUGAAAUGCGUAGAUAUCAAGUGGAACACCAGUGGCGAAGGCGAAUCCCUGGAAAAUACCUGACACUGAGGCACGAAAGCUAGGGGAGCAAACAGG
rnacentral:rRNA from 1 species